rnacentral:rRNA from 1 species
UACGUAGGGGGCAAGCGUUGUCCGGAUUUAUUGGGCGUAAAGAGCGUGUAGGCGGCUUUACAGGUCCGUUGUGAAAACUCGAGGCUCAACCUCGAGACGCCGGUGGAAACCGUAAAGCUAGAGUCCGGAAGAGGAGAGUGGAAUUCCUGGUGUAGCGGUGGAAUGCGCAGAUAUCAGGAGGAACACCAAUAGCGAAAGCAGCUCUCUGGGACGGUACUGACGCUGAGACGCGAAAGCGUGGGGAGCGAACAGG